GACGAACGCUGGCGGCAUGCCUAAUACAUGCAAGUCGAGCGGAGUUGACGAGAAGCUUGCUUCUCUGAUACUUAGCGGCGGACGGGUGAGUAACACGUAGGCAACCUGCCUUUCAGUUUGGGAUAACUUCCGGAAACGGAUGCUAAUACCGAAUACAUCAUCUUCUGGCAUCAGAGAAUGAGGAAAGACGGCGCAAGCUGUCACUGAGAGAUGGGCCUGCGGCGCAUUAGCUAGUUGGUGGGGUAAUGGCUCACCAAGGCGACGAUGCGUAGCCGACCUGAGAGGGUGAACGGCCACACUGGGACUGAGACACGGCCCAGACUCCUACGGGAGGCAGCAGUAGGGAAUCUUCCACAAUGGGCGAAAGCCUGAUGGAGCAAUGCCGCGUGAGUGAUGAAGGUUUCGGAUCGUAAAGCUCUGUUGCCAGGGAAGAACGUCCGGGUGAGUAACUGCACCCGGAGUGACGGUACCUGAGAAGAAAGCCCCGGCUAACUACGUGCCAGCAGCCGCAGUAA
rnacentral:rRNA from 1 species